AGAUUGAACGCUGGCGGCAGGCCUAACACAUGCAAGUCGAGCGGUAGAGAGGUGCUUGCAUCUCUUGAGAGCGGCGGACGGGUGAGUAACGCCUAGGAAUCUGCCUAGUGGUGGGGGGAUAACGUUCGGAAACGGACGCUAAUACCGCAUACGUCCUACGGGAGAAAGCGGGGGACCUUCGGGCCUCGCGCCAUUAGAUGAGCCUAGGUCGGAUUAGCUAGUUGGUGAGGUAAUGGCUCA
rnacentral:rRNA from 1 species